AGCAGUAUGGUGUAAUGAUGCACACAGGGAUUCAUUACUCAAGAUAUGAGAAAUAAUGUAUUCCCGAGGUCCUUGUUCGAAUCAAGGUACUGCUC